rnacentral:rRNA from 1 species
UACGGAGACCUCGAGCGUUACUCGGAUUCACUGGGCGUAAAGGGUGAGUAGGUGGCCAAGUGUGUCAGGUGUGAAAUCCCGGGGCUUAACCCCGGAACUGCGCCUGAAACUACUUGGCUAGAGUCUCGGAGAGGAUAGUGGAAUUCCAAGUGUAGCGGUGAAAUGCGUAGAUAUUUGGAGGAACACCAGUGGCGAAGGCGACUAUCUGGACGAGUACUGACGCUCAAUCACGAAAGCGUGGGUAGCGAAAGGG